UACAGAGACUGCAAGCGUUAUUCGGAUUCACUGGGCGUAAAGGGCUCGUAGGCGGCCAACUAAGUCAUACGUGAAAUCCCUCGGCUUAACCGGGGAACUGCGUCUGAUACUGGAUGGCUUGAGUUCGGGAGAGGGAUGCGGAAUUCCAGGUGUAGCGGUGAAAUGCGUAGAUAUCUGGAGGAACACCGGUGGCGAAGGCGGCAUCCUGGACCGAUACUGACGCUGAGGAGCGAAAGCCAGGGGAGCAAACGGG
rnacentral:rRNA from 1 species